UGAUGGCGACCGGCGCACGGGUGAGUAACACGUAUCCAACCUGCCGAUAACUCGGGGAUAGCCUUUCGAAAGAAAGAUUAAUACCCGAUGGUAUAAUAAAGCCGCAUGGUUUAAUUAUUAAAGAAUUUCGGUUAUCGAUGGGGAUGCGUUCCAUUAGGCAGUUGGUGAGGUAACGGCUCGCCAAGCCUUCGAUGGAUAGGGGUUCUGAGAGGAAGGUCCCCCACAUUGGAACUGAGACACGGUCCAA
rnacentral:rRNA from 1 species